AACGAACGCUGGCGGCAGGCCUAACACAUGCAAGUCGAGCGCGCCCUUCGGGGUGAGCGGCGGACGGGUGAGUAACGCGUGGGAACGUGCCCUUUUCUACGGAAUAGCCUCGGGAAACUGAGAGUAAUACCGUAUACGCCCUUUGGGGGAAAGAUUUAUCGGAAAAGGAUCGGCCCGCGUUGGAUUAGGUAGUUGGUGGGGUAAUGGCCUACCAAGCCGACGAUCCAUAGCUGGUUUGAGAGGAUGAUCAGCCACACUGGGACUGAGACACGGCCCAGACUCCUACGGGAGGCAGCAGUGGGGAAUCUUAGACAAUGGGGGCAACCCUGAUCUAGCCAUGCCGCGUGAGUGAUGAAAGCCUUAGGGUUGUAAAGCUCUUUCAGCUGGGAAGAUAAUGACGGUACCAGCAGAAGAAGCCCCGGCUAACUCCGUG
rnacentral:rRNA from 1 species